CGGUGAAAACCUAAUUGCUUCGUUUCUUCUCCCCCAGCCCCUUUCUCCCUUUGAUUCAGAAACAAAUUGAGCAAAAAAUGCUAGCCAUCAUCACCACUGCAAGUAAUGGCACAUUGCCGCCGUCCGUCCCACUCAAAGCUGUUAUCCGUCCGUCCGUCUAUCUAGCUUCCCUCGUGCUCCAAGUCUCCAACCCCUGUUCGUGUUCACCGAUUGCAGCUUCUUCCUCGAGGUCAGCUCGGUGUCUGUCGUCUUCAUCUGCUCAGCCGCGCUUCCGUCGCCCGAGCCAUUGAAUCCCUUUUUCUUUGCAGAUUGAAGUUUUUCUCCUUGCUUCUCAUUCGAUCUGGCAGAGUGCUCACUUUCCACCCCCAAUCUAUUUUGCUAACCGCAUCACAGAGCACUAGUUGCGGAACUCUGCCGUUGUUAUGCCGAGGAGGAUGACCUUGAACUUCCGCCGUCUUGUCGCCGUCGUCUGUCGCUGUUUGUCCUCCUCUGCGAUUGAAGAGAAACUAUGUGAUUUUGUCGGCUACCCUUCUCAAGAGCCUGAUGAAAUGGUUUUUGUUCCCUCUCCUAUAGAAUCGAAAAUCAGUAUGCUUCUGUUAGUGAUAAGAAUUUAUUUUGAUGCCAAAACAAUGGUAAUGACAUGAAUUUAUUUUUGCUUCCUGCUACAGAUGAUUGAUGAUCAAGAUCUAGGUUUCUUUGCCAAAGACUUUAUUGACACUAGAUAAAAUUUACUAGAUGAAUAUUUUGUUCAAAAACCACUUUGAAUGAUUAUUGAUUAGCUCUACUCACUGUUGUUGUGCUCA